UACGUAGGGGGCUAGCGUUGUCCGGAAUCAUUGGGCGUAAAGAGCGCGUAGGCGGCCAGAUAAGUCCGGUGUGAAAGUCAAAGGCUCAACCUUUGAAUGCCGCUGGAAACUGUCUGGCUAGAGUCCGGGAGGGGCGAGUGGAAUUCCUGGUGUAGCGGUGAAAUGCGCAGAUAUAAGGAGGAACACCAAUGGCGAAGGCAGCUCGCUGGAACGGUACUGACGCUGAGGCGCGAAAGCGUGGGGAGCGAACAGG
rnacentral:rRNA from 1 species